rnacentral:rRNA from 1 species
AACGAACGCUGGCGGCAUGCCUAACACAUGCAAGUCGAACGAGACCUUCGGGUCUAGUGGCGCACGGGUGCGUAACGCGUGGGAAUCUGCCCUUGGGUUCGGAAUAACAGUUGGAAACGACUGCUAAUACCGGAUGAUGACGUAAGUCCAAAGAUUUAUCGCCCAAGGAUGAGCCCGCGUAGGAUUAGCUAGUUGGUGAGGUAAAGGCUCACCAAGGCGACGAUCCUUAGCUGGUCUGAGAGGAUGAUCAGCCACACUGGGAGUGAGACACGGCCCAGACUCUUACGGGAGGGAGGAGUGGGGGAUAGUGGACAGUGGGCGAAAGCCUGAUGCAGCAAUGCCGCGUGAGUGAUGAAGGCCUUAGGGUUGUAAAGCUCUUGUAACCGGGAUGAUAAUGACGGUACCGGGAGAGAAAGCGCCGGCUAACUCCGUG